AAUAGAUGACACCGUUGACUUUUUCUCACAUGUUUGACCAUUUGUCUUAUUCAAAAAAUGUACGUAAUUAUAAUUUAUUUUUUUAUGAGUUGUUUUAUCACUCAUAGUACUUUAAGUGUGAUUUAUAUUUUAUAUAUUUGCAAAAAAAAAUUUGAUUAAGACGAAUGGUCAAACAUGUGAGAAAAAGUUAACGGCGUCAUCUAUU
rnacentral:pre_miRNA from 1 species